rnacentral:rRNA from 1 species
UACGUAGGGUGCGAGCGUUAAUCGGAAUUACUGGGCGUAAAGUGUGCGCAGGCGGCCAUGCAAGUCGAGUGUGAAAGCCCCGGGCUUAACUUGGGAAUUGCGCUCGAAACUACGUGGCUGGAGUGUGGCAGAGGAAGGUGGAAUUCCACGUGUAGCGGUGAAAUGCGUAGAGAUGUGGAGGAACACCGAUGGCGAAGGCAGCCCCCUGGGCCAACACUGACGCUCAGGCACGAAAGCGUGGGGAGCAAACAGG